rnacentral:rRNA from 1 species
UACAGAGGGGGCAAGCGUUGUUCGGAAUUACUGGGCGUAAAGGGCGCGUAGGCGGCCGCCUAAGUCAGACGUGAAAUCCCUCGGCUCAACCGGGGAACUGCGUCUGAUACUGGGUGGCUUGAAUCCGGGAGAGGGAUGCGGAAUUCCAGGUGUAGCGGUGAAAUGCGUAGAUAUCUGGAGGAACACCGGUGGCGAAGGCGGUUCUCUGGGAAUGUCCUGACGCUGAGGAGCGAAAGUGUGGGGAGCGAACAGG